rnacentral:lncRNA from 1 species
AUGCUGAGUAAAACCUCUGCAAAACCAGCAGAAAUGCCAAGGGACAGCAUGCCUGCCUCUGACGAACACUGUUACCUUCAGCUGCUUCCUAUCUGCCGACUGGGCUUCAGGCAGGGCUUUUCUCUCUCCUCCAGUGACGAUGGCUUCUCCCCUGAUUUCAUUGGUCUGCCUGCAUCUGCGUCCCUUUCCUGUGGAAACUGGAGAUAUGGGCAGGAGAAAAGACAUAUUUGGGUCUAUCCCACUGCAUGCUAUGUUUCAAACAAUCUGGUCCACUGAAGGCAAGGGGAUCUUUCAGCAUUUACAGGGGCGAAAAACACUCAACACAUGUUAGUGGUGAGUAUAGAAUGUAAACUUUUGUGCUUAUAGGAUGUGGUCUGGCUCAUAUAAAACACCAACAUAUAAGAAAGUCACAUGAAAAGCAAAGGUGAGGGACAGGAAGGACCUGUUCUUUUGGUGGCACUCUCAGGUUGUAGCAGCAGGUUGAGAGAAGUGAUUAUUUCCCUCUACAUGUCACUUGUGAGACUGUAGCUGUAGUUCUGGGACCAGUUUUGGGCUCCCUCCAUUGCAGGAAAGACAUGAACUUACUAAAGCAAGUCCACUGUAGGUCCACCAAGCUGGUCAGGGACUGGAUCAAAGAGUGUGCAAGGAGAAACUAAGGGAAACACAUUGUUCAUCCUAAAGAAGAAAGGUUCAGGAGUGUUUGACUGAAGUCUACAACUAGUUAAAAGAUGAAUGGAAAGCAGAUGGAGCCAGAAUCUCUCUGGAUAUGCACAGUGACAAUGAGAGCAACAGUCAGGUUGAAACAAAUAAUCAAAUUUACAACACACAUGAAAAACUGUAGUAUGAAAAGCAC